AUGUCCGAUGUAGUGAAGUUCAGAUUUUACUACGGUCCUGGUACUGUCCAAACAACUGAGUUGGGAGCAGAUCUGAGUGAAUUUACUCACAUAGAGGUGCCAAUGAGCGCACCACAAACAUGGUCUGUCAGUAAGUUGAAAGAAUGGAUUGCGGCAAGUUUAGGUCUUGAUACUGAAACACACACCGUCGGUGUUCAUGCAUUGUGGACACGGUCAAGUUCAAAAAUUUACUUUUAUUUGAGGCCAAUAGAGGGAGACUCCGAUUGGGUGCGGUGGUUACAAGGUUGUGAACGAAGGGGAUGCAAUCCUGUUGCUUUAGUGCUUCCCGUCGUGAAGGAGGUCACUGCACAUGAAGGCGAGGGUGGCUACGAAGGACAGAGCAGUCAGGUAGAAGGAGGAAAUGCUUAUGAUACGAACAAGGACAGAGCAGUCAGGUAG
rnacentral:rRNA from 1 species